rnacentral:lncRNA from 10 species
AUCUCGUCCAGAAGUAAUAUACGUCAAGAAAGAAGAGAUUAUAAAUGUCUAGCAGGGACUGUUAGAAAUAUAUUUGGUGCCCUUGAUGAUUUCUCAAUCAAGACAGGGAACACUGAGGUACAACCACAUAGAGCAUCGGAGCUGCUACGGUAAAGGGGAAGGAGAGAUUCCUACUCUGGUUGAUGACACUGGAUCCUUGCAAGCUGGACAUCUCGGAACAACAGACACAGCUGUUCAACCUCAGAGGAGUACAGGGCCCCCUCUGCUGGGAUCCAGGAACAAGCUAGCAAGGCCUCCAGACAGGGGAUUUCCACUGAUCCUUUGUCACUACUGAGCCCAAAAGUGCACGGGCAGCAAGUUACCAAAUCGCCUUCCACAAGGUCUACAAACCCAUCUGGGACACAUGGCAGGGACCAACACGCUUCUAGACUUCCCAUGUUCCAAGUCCACUUCUGCCGGCAGAAUAGAAACCUCGUCAGUUAUCACAACUCAUUACGCACUAAUGGGAUGUGUGGACCUGUUCAGCACUGCACAGCUUUUCAAACCUUGGAAUCGAUUGCAAAGUGCUUCAUUUCUUGUUCUACAAAGAGUUUUGCCUAACCCCUGCUUUCUGUUACAGCAAACACCAAAAUCCUAGUUUCGCCAUGAACACUGAAAUUAUGAACUACUUCAAAAUAAUAGCUUCCGUGGUGACCAGAGCAACAAAUUUUACUAGGUUUGCCUUGAAGAUUUGAAAUAUCCACAGCACCUACGUGAAUUUGCUGUGGUGCCCCAGGCUCUACCUCACUGCACAGUUUGGAAACCACAGCUUUCAGUUGUCUUCUUUUUUUAAAAUUAUUUUUAUUUUUUGAGAUGGAGUCUUGCUCUGUCAACCAGGCUGGAGUGCAGUGGCGCGAUCUCCACCUGCUGGGUUCAAGCAAUUCUUGUGCCUCAGCCUUCCAAGUAGCUGGGGUUACAGGAGCCCACCGCAACGCCUGGUUAAUUUUUGUAUUUUUAGUAGAGACUGGGUUUUGCCCUGUCGGCCAGGCUAGUCUCGAACUCCUGUCCUCAAGUGAUCCACCCACCUCAGCCUCCCAAAGUGCUGGGAUUACAAUGUGAGCUACCGUGCCCAGCCUCAGUUGUCUUCUGACUCUGAGAAGUUAAGAUUCAACUGAUUUUUAAACUUGAGGUUUGAAAUUCCUUACUAUCCACUUUUGGGACCCACUGCACUAUCAGAGAAAAGCAAGAGUAUCAGAAACACAGGUGACUGUGGAUGGAAGAGCAGUAAGCAGUUGAAGUACUUUGCUGUUUUUCCCGUAGGGGAGGACAAAUGGAUUCCUGAGGUGCAGGGCAAUCAACAGAUGAGAUCCAAGAGUCAGAACCCUGGAAUGGACCACCAGAACUUUCCCAUGGAGCCCCAGGACUUCUUCCCCCAAUUCCUGCUGUUUCUCCUCCUCCCUGUAGCAGGCUUCUUAAAGCAGGUAGUUUGACCUGCUGAGCAUCACAUUGCAUAAAACAAUGCCGGAAGACUUGAGCAAUGGUGACUUACCAAGACAGCUGGCUGCCUAUGUUUAUGGCAUUUGGAAUCCACCGGGAACACAUACAUUUGUCACAGUGUGUUCCCGAAAUAAAUGAGGCUGUCUCCCAACUGGCCCCAUAUAAUCAACGCAGCCCAGCCCCACAUAGCUACUCCAAUGAAUAAUGCUUUGUUUGCCAAAUGCAAUGGGAACCUACCACAGGCCAGGGUGCUUCCAACAACAACAACAACAAGAAACUAAAGACAGAUGAAAAAGCCUCACAGCUUGCGGUGUUGACAGUAUUCUAGAAGACCCUACACCCCUGUGGCUUCUCGAUGACUAAUGUGGAGCCAGCAUCUGUCAGCACAAACUCAGAGUGAUUACCCAGAAAUAGGUAUCCUUCUAAUUAAAAUAUCUGACCAUGUCCCCAUCAGCCACUUGCCUCAUUUGGGACACCACCAACCAUCCUGCACGGCUGCCCAUGUUUCUGUUUCUCCAGCCCAAGCAUGCAGUUUCAGUAGGUCCUUCAGAGGCUGCCUGAAAGGAGCUCCUGAAUUUCACAGACAAAUCCAGACCCCUGUGUGGAAAGCCUGCGGUGGUGUUCUCCGUCUUCCCACAGGACUCCCUGCAGCCAGGAAUUCUAGGGGAGCACCUGACGCGAGGUAUACGCCCAGAUGGCCUGAAGUAACUGAAGAAUCACAAAAGAAGUGAAAAUGUCCUGCCCCGCCUUAACUGAUGACAUUCCACCACAAAGGAAGUGUCAAUGGCUGGUCCUUGCCUUAACUGAUGACAUUCCACCGCAAAAGAAGUGAAAAUGGCCGGUCCUUGCCUUAACUGAUGACAUUACACCACAAAAGAAGUGAAAAUGGCCGGUCCUUGCCUUAAGUGAUGGCAUUACCUUGUGAAAGUCCUUUUCCUGGCUCAUUCUGGCUCAAAAUCACCCCCACUGAGCACCUUGUGACCCCCACUCCUGCCCGCCAGGGAACAAUCCCCCUUUGACUGUAAUUUUCCUUUACCUACCCAAAUCUUAUAAAAUGGCCCCACCCCUAUCUCCCUUUGCUGACUCUCUUUUUGGACUCAGCCUGCCUGCAUCCAGGUGAUUAAAAGCUUUUAUUGCUCACACA